rnacentral:rRNA from 1 species
UGGCUCAGAACGAACGCUGGCGGCGUGCUUAACACAUGCAAGUCGAACGAGAAAGCCCUUUCGGGGUGAGUAGAGUGGCGCACGGGUGAGUAACACGUAGGUGACCUGCCCUUCAGUGGGGGAUAACCAGAAGAAAUUCUGGCUAAUACCGCAUACGAAGGCAACUUGAAAGGGUGCUUCGGCACUUGCUGAAGGAGGGGCCUGCGGGACAUUAGUUUGAUGGUGGGGUAAUGGCCUACCAUGGCAGCGAUGUCUAGCUGGUCUGAGAGGAUGAUCAGCCACACUGGGACUGAGACACGGCCCAGACUCCUGCGGGAGGCAGCAGUGGGGAAUAUUGCGCAAUGGGGGAAACCCUGACGCAGCAACGCCGCGUGAGUGAGGAAUGCCUUCGGGUUGUAAAGCUCUGUCAGAUGGGAAGAACGGCUUAGGGUCCAAUAGGCCCUAGGAUUGACGGUACCAUCAAAGGAAGCACCGGCUAACUUCGUGCCAGCAGCCGCGGUAAUACGAAGGGUGCAAGCGUUGUUCGGAUUUAUUGGGCGUAAAGCGCGCGCAGGCGGCCGAAUAAGCCAGAUGUGAAAUCUCGGGGCCCAACCCCGAAACUGCGUCUGGAACUGUUUGGCUAGAGUCUUAGAGAGGAAAGCGGAAUUUCGCAUGUAGGGGUAAAAUCCGCAGAGAUGCGAAGGAACACCAGAGGCGAAGGCGGCUUUCUGGAUAAGUACUGACGCUGAGGCGCGAAAGCGUGGGGAGCAAACAGGAUUAGAUACCCUGGUAGUCCACGCCGUAAACGAUGUGCACUAGAUUUGGCGAGUUGAUCCUCGCCGUUUCGUAGCUAACGCAUUAAGUGCACCGCCUGGGGAGUACGGUCGCAAGACUAAAACUCAAA